GCAGCGGUGGUUCAGUGGUAGAAUUCUUGUCUUCCAUGCAGGUGACCUGAGUUCUAUUCCUGGCCAAUGUU
rnacentral:tRNA from 1 species